UUUAUCGGAGAGUUUGAUCCUGGCUCAGGACGAACGCUGGCGGCGUGCCUAAUACAUGCAAGUCGAGCGGACAGAUGGGAGCUUGCUCCCUGAUGUUAGCGGCGGACGGGUGAGUAACACGUGGGUAACCUGCCUGUAAGACUGGGAUAACUCCGGGAAACCGGGGCUAAUACCGGAUGCUUGUUUGAACCGCAUGGUUCAAACAUGAAAGGUGGCUUCGGCUACCACUUACAGAUGGACCCGCGGCGCAUUAGCUAGUUGGUGAGGUAACGGCUCACCAAGGCAACGAUGCGUAGCCGACCUGAGAGGGUGAUCGGCCACACUGGGACUGAGACACGGCCCAGACUCCUACGGGAGGCAGCAGUAGGGAAUCUUCCGCAAUGGACGAAAGUCUGACGGAGCAACGCCGCGUGAGUGAUGAAGGUUUUCGGAUCGUAAAGCUCUGUUGUUAGGGAAGAACAAGUGCCGUUCGAAUAGGGCGGUACCUUGACGGUACCUAACCAGAAAGCCACGGCUAACUACGUGCCAGCAGCCGCGGUAAUACGUAGGUGGCAAGCGUUGUCCGGAAUUAUUGGGCGUAAAGGGCUCGCAGGCGGUUUCUUAAGUCUGAUGUGAAAGCCCCCGGCUCAACCGGGGAGGGUCAUUGGAAAC
rnacentral:rRNA from 1 species